rnacentral:sRNA from 2 species
UAUUCUCCCCUACGGGGGAGGAUGAGAAGUUUCGACCAAGGUUCGACUCGAGCCGUUGCCGCAGGCAACGGCCCGAAGGGCGAGGCGCGUUAGCGCCGAGUUAUCCUUCCCCCACCAUUC